UCAUCAAAGUGAGCCAACAUAUCAACAUCCAUCGUGAAGUUUAAGAUACCUUGAGCAGAAUGGACAGUGUAAUUCAGCUUAAAAGGAACCAUAUUGACGCCUUUUGAUUUAAGCUUUUGAACAACCUAAAAUCCACAUUGUAUCCUACGGUCAGCUUUGUUAUGUCAACUGAAAAAGGAUCAGAAAAGGGGAUAUCCCUGGAUGAAUGAUCAUGUGGAUCCUUGCCUCGGAUUAUAUCCAAAACAAUUGCACAAUCUGUAGCACUUCUGCAGAAAGGUCCUAGUUUAUCCUGCAAAUACACAGUAUUUACAUUCACCACCAGUAAUAACUGUAUACAAAUAGAGCAGAGAAUUCGGUCUCUACCAGACUCUCUGAUAAGCUUAGAACACCCGUUCUUCCAAUAGUUCCAAAAGUAGGACGAAAUGCUGUCACGCCACAUCGAGCAGCAGGGUAAGUGAUGGAUCCAGCCGUUUCUGAACCAAUAGCAAAGGGAACCAUGCCUGCAGUAAACAAAUUUUCAGUUACUGUAUUUUUCCUUUCUAUGUUUCAAGAUUUAAACAACAAGGAACAAUUUAUGUUAAGAUAUACCAGCUGAGGUGCAGGCAGCUGGUCCAGCCGACGAACCAGUUGAAUAUUCCUCAAUGUUCCAAGGAUUCCUCGUUCUACCCCCAAACCAGAUGUCGUCAUAUGCCAGUGACCCUGUCACAAGUUUUGCAAGAAGAACUGCCCCGGCAGAUUUCAGCCUGAAAUGAUUAUCAAUGUUUAUUGUGAAAGGUCAAAGCCACUGGUUCUUAUUUGUUUUACAUUGAGCUAAGAAGUUACUCGAAUACCUCUUAUACACCCAAGCUUCAAUAUCAAGAACUUGAUUUUUAAACGUUCUAGAACCCCAAGUCGUCUUGUAAUGGGGCACUGCAAUUAUAUCCUUCAAACCGUAUGGAAUCCCGUGAAGCGGGCCUAAAUAAAAGCCAUAAGAAAUAGUAUCUUUCAAGUCUUCUAUUGAAAGAUUUGUGCAAUUCACAGAGAAAAACCAAAAGGUUUCAGAAA